rnacentral:rRNA from 1 species
GAUGAACGCUGGCGGCGUGCCUAAUACAUGCAAGUCGAGCGAGCGGACGAGAAGCUUGCUCUUCUGAUGUUAGCGGCGGACGGGUGAGUAACACGUGGAUAACCUACCUAUAAGACUGGGAUAACUUCGGGAAACCGGAGCUAAUACCGGAUAAUAUUUUGAACAGCAUGGUUCAAAAGUGAAAGACGGUCUUGCUGUCACUUAUAGAUGGAUCCGCGCUGCAUUAGCUAGUUGGUAAGGUAACGGCUUACCAAGGCAACGAUGCAUAGCCGACCUGAGAGGGUGAUCAGCCACACUGGAACUGAGACACGGUCCAGACUCCUACGGGAGGCAGCAGUAGGGAAUCUUCCGCAAUGGGCGAAAGCCUGACGGAGCAACGCCGCGUGAGUGAUGAAGGUCUUCGGAUCGUAAAACUCUGUUAUUAGGGAAGAACAUAUGUGUAAGUAACUGUGCACAUCUUGACGGUACCUAAUCAGAAAGCCACGGCUAACUACGUG